AUAGUUGUCUAUACUUAAUGUCUGUGUUGCCAUCAUGUUCACCAAGGACUCUCAUAAGUCAAAUCAUCAUAUCUUAUGACAGCGCUUACCUGGGUGCCAAUCUUCGUCACACUGACAAGCGGCUGCAGCAAUCGGGACCCGCACCGCCACGAUACGCGUCACCACGCACACAUGACCGCGUCCAAUGGAAGCGUGCGCCUUCCAAUACGACAGCACGCUUCCCAACACGUCUCAUCAAUAUUCAGCAAGGGAGCGGGGCACGUUGCUGUUUUAGGUACGCCCACCUCGACGCAUGCCUUGGUGGAGGGGCGGAGCGACUGUUGUAGCACCGCCCUCGCGGGCCUCGGCGCGCGGCCGCGCUGGCCUUAUGAAUACUCAUAAGGGGGGCGGUCGGGAGGCGCCAAUUACCUUCUUCAGGCGAUAUUUCUCGUUUCCUUUAGUAAGGUGUGGAAGGACUGUAAGGUGAAAGUUCCUCUGGGCCAUUAAAAAAAUUAAAAGACUCAGUUGCUCGUAAGCACAAGUGAGGCCGUGGCCCAAGCUGCGGGUGACGUCACUGAAUCUUGCUGGUUGCUGCGGCUGCCUUUCGUGAACGUGAGACGGCCAAGGUGAUCCCAAUGGAUAGGGAUGCAACAGAAUCCGCGGGGUGGAAGGGGAAAUGGGAAUACAGCUGUAUUUUUUUUAAAUAAAUAAAAGCGGUCAAUAACGAAGGCUGCAAACCUGUGCACACGCACUUGGAACUAACUCCGUCGAGACCCCGGGGCUUCGGUCUGGCACCCUCAAGCACCAGCCCCCCAGCCCGUCUUGAUUGGGAACCAGAACCACCACGAAGUCCAAGAAAUCCUGGACUCGAGUCAAAAGGGGGGUCUCGUAUUAUCUGAUAAAGUUGAAACACUUCCCCUCCAGCGAAAAUGAAUGGGUGGCAGAAAAAGAUAUAUUGGCCCCCGAUUUAAUCAAGAAGUUCCAUCAGAAAUGUUCCACCAGGGCGGUAGUGGCGGCUUAGGGGGGGCAGUAUGUCAAGUCUGGCUUUAACUCUUGCUCACUCAAAGAGCAUGCUGGGUAGAACCAAAGUGUAACCAAAUGCUGCUAGCUAACUCUCCCCUGUUCCCCCCUCCCUUCCGUAGAGAAUGUCCCUGCUUUGAAAUGGUGAUGUGUGAAGUCUUAUCUGAACCUUCUCAGCUCAGGCUCGGGGGAGACAGGAAGCCUGGGAGUACCAAGGCCGUGGGCCUCUAAUCAACAUGAGAAUGUAUUAGUAACAUCUAUGUGUGAAUGUUCCCUUUGCUAGAUUCCCCGGCCCGCAGGAAUCCCUUUGAAGUGUUCCUUAUAUGCAAUGUAUCUAUUAUACGGUCUUCAGUCUUUUCAAGCUCUGGCCAAGGCCGCAAGUAACCAGUAUCAAUAAACUAGUUCUUUGUA